rnacentral:lncRNA from 1 species
UAUGUUGAUGUAUUUUUAUUGCCAGCAGUGAUGAUAUCUGAUGUCUUUACAAAUAUGUAAAUAAUUUUGGAGUCUGACAUCUGGUCCAAACACGUAAAUUGCCUUUUUUAGUACAUAGGACCCUGUAGCAGGGUCAUUGCCAUUGUAAAGGAGAUAAAUGUAUGUGCACAUGGGUAUUGUACUGUCAAGAUACCUGCACGCAUUUCUUAUUUUGGGGAAGCAUGUUGGGGUAUUGGAGUUAUCGCAAUAACGAGAUUGCUAAUAGCACAUAUGUCAAAACAUCAUAGCUGUAAUUACAGCUGGGAAACACAGACUUUUUUGGAAUACAGAUGUACCUGAAAACCAAACAAAUUGGACACCUCAUAUCAGUCAGAGUAUGUUGUUAGAGAUGAUUAGAUCCACAUGUUAUAGAUACAGUAUAAUAUAGUCACUGUACAGUAUUUUUAAUCCUUACUUGACUAACUUGUUAUCACAUGACUGUCUUCACUUCUUUUGGGUAAUCCCCGUUGCCUACAGCCUCGACUAUUGCAUUGUUUUAUUUGUGGACAUUCUUUAUCAGAAUAAAGGCUUGUGAUUGGUUCACUUGCUGUCUGUUUAAUCUUAGAGUAUCUUAACAUGAAAGCAGAAGCACCUGUAGCAGCACUUCCCUUUUAGACGACUUCACGCCUCCUCGCACCCCUGUGUGUAUCGAGAAUUUUGGGUUGCGGUAGCUGAGUGGUUUAAAGAUGCGCGUCCAACCUGCUCGCUUCAGUAAAACACACCGGGCACUACCAGCAGCAGCUCAGUGCUGUUAAGAUGUCUUGACCAGUAUGGAUAGAUGGAAACUGUGGUUUGUUCUUCUUCUGCCGAUAGCUUUUUAUACUGACAGCAAAGAUGUUAAGAUGCUACUUGUGAAAACAAUCGGGAGCAAACCAGAUGUCACUCCAAUAUGCACCAAUGAAACACAGAAUCCCAUCGUGUUUAUAGUUUGUAAUAUCAGAACAGAGAGAAGCACAGAAGAAUGCCGUGUGCUGUAUCGAGACAACUUUGUGCAUGAAUGUGACUCCAGAUUCAGACUUGUGACAGAGAAUCAGACUGAAUGUGACUCCAGAUUCAGACUUGUGACAGAGAAUCAUACUGUAUUCCUCCACCUGACCAGUUUAAAACCAGAGGAUAGUGGGAACUACACCUGUGAGUGUUCACAGUCUUUUGGAACAUAUAUUCUCCAACUGAAUAUCACUGUGGAAGAGGAUGAAGACCCCAGCAGCAAUACAAAAAUCCCUUACUUGUAUGCUGUAAUUGGUGUGUUUGCGCUCAUCAUAACCGGAGUUAUCCUCGGAGUCAUCCACAGAAAAACUCAACAUGGAAGACGAUCAGAGCCGCUGCACGAUCGUCCGAACACGGAACCAGGAGUCACUGAGCCGUACAUGACCUACAUUCAGAGAGAGAAUGAGCUUUAUUCUGCCAGUGUGUACAGUUACAUCAGUGCUAAUAAUUCAAACAUGUUCCCUUAAAAUGAAACAGAUUUAAGGAUGCGUUUGUAGAGUUUUAGUUUUAUAUUGUCUCUGAUGCAUAUUUUAAAUAAUAAAGGGCCUGUUGUCCAUAAACUGACUAUUUUGCUUUGCCAAAUACUCUGCAGUGCAUUUAAUCCUGAAACGAAGCUAAUUUUAUUCACAUUUUAUUUGAUGUGGUAAAUGGGCACUUCAAAUACAUUUCACUGUCUGGCAAAUAUGAUAAGAAUAAUUGAUCUAAUAAAUGCAUGGUUAAAACAAAGUCUACUCUUAUUAAUUUGAUUUCCGUUAUUUCGUUUGUCGAAUACCUGUAAAGUAAUAAUGAAAUAUAGGCUUUACUUUAAACAAACAUCUUGUGUGUCCCAUUGAUGCAAACAACUGUUAAGCUUUAGCACUUAAAUUCUGUCAUGAUUCAUGUGAUAUACAGUAUAAACCAUUACGUCAGCUUGAGUUAACACCAAGCAUCUCAACUUCCUGCAUGAACCUUCUUCCCCCACAACAUCUACCCCAAGGCUCUUCUCUGCAGCCACCACAAUGUUGCAAAUGCCUCCUUACCUCAUUUUCAGUCACAGCAACAUAAUGUAAUUUUUUUUUAACCUUUAAAGUAACAGCUUCAAAAUCAUUUUAAGGGUACAGCGUCUUGUAAUAGGGUGUAUUGUGUGUAAGCUUAGUGACAGGGUUGGAUUGCAGCUUUACAAACAUCUUUACUUCAACAUACAAAAAACAAAAAAACUCAUAACAUUACGACAUACUGAGUUUUGUUAAAUUGCUACAGACCUGGGAUUUUGAAUUAACAACAGUGGUGUUGCACUCAGAAACUGCGGGGGGCGCCGAAUCGCAUAAAAGCCCAUUUCUAC